rnacentral:lncRNA from 1 species
AGAGAGAGAGAGAAUAUGAAUUUUGGCCUUGCAGCCCUUUCUGAAGUCAUAUGAAUGUCUCAGUGUUUGCACUUGAAAAACUGGAAGAAAAAUCAAUUGCAUGAAAACACGAAAUCGGCCAACACAAGGUUGGAAGGGCUUAAUAAGAAAAAGAAAAGAAAGUCAUAUGCAUAAUAUUGAAUAAAUACAUACAUAGAACAAGAAUAUAGUCUACAAUAUUUUAAAAAGCUGAAAAGUAGAGAAAAUAUUCAAAAUACUAUAUAGCAACAAUAUUUGUUUGCAUUAAUAUUCCUCAGACCUGUCUAUUAUUUUGAGAUUAUUGAGUUAGUGAUAGCAAAAGAAUCUUCUCUAAUAAUAUGCUAAAUUUUUAAAAAUUAAUAUAUAUUUUACUUAAUAGUUAAAUGAGGAAUUUUCCCCAGAUUAAAGACAUCACCAUUGGCUAUUUUUGACAGGUAUUUACGUGUAGACGCAGAGCCAUGACCACUUAAGCUACCUCAGACAUCACCAGGCUCAUAAUGAGAAAUGAGAGUGUGAGCACUAAGUCAACAGACUUGAAGGAAGCCAAUGCUUCCUGGGUACCAGUCACUGAGGGUAGUGGGAAUAUAAAGAAUAAACAUGGGUUUUCCUUACACUUUGGGGGGAAAAAGUAAAUGGAAAAUAAGAAUCCAGUGUCAUGCUGAUAACGGGGGGUUGAAUAAAGGACCUCUGCAUCUUUUUCAGGGGGCUGUUGUGGGGAGACAUUUGCAGAGGAAGUGACUUCAAGGUGCAUGCUGAAGGAUGAAUCAAAUGAGGAAAUCAUCAGAACAAUGUGUACAAGAUGAAGAGACAGCAAAGAAGCCCCC